rnacentral:rRNA from 1 species
GAUGAACGCUGGCGGCGUGCCUAAUACAUGCAAGUCGAGCGAACAGACGAGGAGCUUGCUCCUCUGACGUUAGCGGCGGACGGGUGAGUAACACGUGGAUAACCUACCUAUAAGACUGGGAUAACUUCGGGAAACCGGAGCUAAUACCGGAUAAUAUAUUGAACCGCAUGGUUCAAUAGUGAAAGACGGUUUUGCUGUCACUUAUAGAUGGAUCCGCGCCGCAUUAGCUAGUUGGUAAGGUAACGGCUUACCAAGGCAACGAUGCGUAGCCGACCUGAGAGGGUGAUUGGCCACACUGGAACCUAGACACGGUCCAGACUCCUACGGGAGGCAGCAGUAGGGAAUCUUCCGCAAUGGGCGAAAGCCUGACGGAGCAACGCCGCGUGAGUGAUGAAGGUCUUCGGAUCGUAAAACUCUGUUAUUAGGGAAGAACAAAUGUGUAAGUAACUAUGCACGUCUUGACGGUACCUAAUCAGAAAGCCACGGCUAACUACGUG